CCUACGGGGGGCAGCAGUGGGGGAUAUUGCACAAUGGGGGGAACCCUGAUGCAGCGACGCCGCGUGGGUGAAGAAGUAUUUCGGUAUGUAAAGCCCUAUCGGCAGGGAAGAAAUUGGACGGUACCUGACUAAGAAGCCCUGGCUAACUACGUGCCAGCAGCCGCGGUAAUACGUAGGGGGCAAGCGUUAUCCGGAUUCACUGGGUGUAAAGGGAGCGUAGACGGCCAUGCAAGCCUGGAGGGAAAGCCCGGGGCCCAACCCCGGGACCGCUCUGGG
rnacentral:rRNA from 1 species